UUGUAAUUUGCAGAGGAUGUUUCUGGCGCGGUGCCUUCCGAGUUCCCUGGAACGGGACGCCACAGAGGGUGAGAGCCCCGUAUGGUUGGACACCAAGCCUGUGUGAAACUCCUUCAACGAGUCGAGUAGUUUGGGAAUGCUGCUCUAAAUGGGAGGUAAAUCUCUUCUAAAGCUAAAUACCGGCCAGAGACCGAUAGCGCACAAGUAGAGUGAUCGAAAGAUGAAAAGCACCUUGAAAAGGGGGUUAAAUAGUACGUGAAAUUGUUGAAAGGGAAGCACUUAUGACCAGACUUGGGCCGGGCGGCUCAUCAGGGGUUCUCCCCUGUGCACUCCGCCCGGCACAGGCCAGCAUCGGUUCUCGUGGGGGGAUAAGACCGUCAGGAACGUAGCACCCUCCGGGGUGUGUUAUAGCCUGGCGGACGAUACCCCCGUGGGGACCGAGGUCCGCGCUCCGCAAGGAUGCUGGCGUAAUGGUCAUCAGUGACCCGUCUUGAAACACGGACCAAGGAGUCGUCCAUUAGAGCGAGCGUUUGGGUGUAAAACCCGCACGCGUAAUGAAAGUGAACGCAGGUGAGAGCUCCGGCGCAUCAUCGACCGAUCCUGAUGUUCUCGGAAGGAUUUGAGUAAGAGUUUUAACGGACGGACCCGAAAGACAGUGAACUAUGCUUGUAUAGGGUGAAGCCAGAGGAAACU
rnacentral:rRNA from 1 species